rnacentral:tRNA from 2 species
GGAAGUGUGCCCGAAAGAUAAGG